UACGGGGGGAGCAAGCGUUGUUCGGAUUUACUGGGCGUAAAGGGCGCGUAGGCGGUCAGCACAAGUCAGUUGUGAAAUCUCCGGGCUUAACUCGGAAAGGUCAACUGAUACUGUGCGACUAGAGUGCGGAAGGGGCAACUAGAAUUCUUGGUGUAGCGGUGAAAUGCGUAGAUAUCAAGAGGAACACCUGCGGCGAAGGCGGGUUGCUGGGCCGACACUGACGCUGAGGCGCGAAAGCCAGGGGAGCGAACGGG
rnacentral:rRNA from 1 species